rnacentral:lncRNA from 11 species
AGAGGCGUGGAUGAUGGGUUGUGUUGUCAAAUUUCGAAGUUGGGGGGCCUGUUGUUUUGUGGGUCGCCGUGAUGCCAUCACUCUUUUAUAUACAGUAGAGUCUCACUUAUCCAAGCUAAACGGGCCAGCAGAAGCUUGGAUAAGCGAAUAUCUUGGAUAAUAAGGAGGGAUUAAGGAAAAGCCUAUUAAACAUCAAAUUAAGUUAUGAUUUUACAAAUUAAGCACCAAAACAUCAUGUUAUACAACAAAUUUGACAGAAAAAGUAGUUCAAUAGGCAGUAAUAUUAUGUUGUAAUUACUGUAUUUACGAAUUUAGCACCAAAAUAUCACAAUGUAUUGAAAACAUUGACUACAAAAAUGGCUUGGAUUAUCCAGAGGCUUGGAUAAGCGAGGCUUGGAUUAGUGAGACUCUACUGUAUAUAGAAGAUGUACACAGGUAUGUUUCAAUAUUUUUUUAAAAUGAGAGUUUAUGUUUCUGGAAACUCACAGGGUCUCCUCCCCUAGGAGAGCUUCCUUGGGGGCUUCUAGAGGAGGCACUGGAGAGUUGAGGGUUUGGAAAGCCCAGUUUUGAGUUGGGGGGAUUCUCCUUCUUCAGGGGUCUCCCCAUGAAAGGGGAGGGGGUUUUGGAGGCAGAGAGAGGCCGCUGGGCCUGGCUUGCUCAAGUGAAAACCCAUCCAUGUCCAGAGGCUGAGGGUCCUUUCCUUCUCUGCUUCUUUCUCCGGCAGGUGUUCCCGCCCCCAGCCCGGGAGGACCCCCCUCCGGCCCUCAAAGCCAGCCUCGCUUUGCCGGUGGGACAAGGCGCCACCUACCUCCGCAGCCCCGACAGGAACGGUGAGGAGUCGCUCAGCAUUGACAUCAUCAGCGGGACCCAGCUGGGCGAGAAAGACUUCGGGAACAUGGCCAGAGAUGAGUUGCAAAAACUCCUCCUGGAGCAGAUGGAACUCAGGAAGAAACUGGAGCGGGAAUUCCAAAGCCUCAAAGACAAUUUCCAAGACCAGAUGAAGCGGGAGCUGGCCUACCGGGAGGAGAUGGUGCAGCAGCUGCAAAUUGUGCGGGAUACGUUGUGCAAUGAGCUGGACCAGGAGCGGAAGGCCCGCUAUGCCAUUCAACAGAAGCUUAAAGAGGCGCAUGAUGCGCUGCACCACUUCUCCUGUAAGAUGCUGACCCCGCGGCACUGCACCGGGACCUGCUCCUUCAAGCCCCCGCUGUUGCCCCAGUGAACGGAAGAUCCCAUCAGACUGACAUCUCCCCCUCUAAACGCCCGCCCGCCAGACCUGCCUGAACAGGAGGAGGAGGAAGGAGGAAAAGCGUCCUGUAAAUAAGCCAAACCAAGGGGGGAUCCAGAGUGAGACCUCUCCCCCCUCCUCCCCGGAGCCAGCCAUGUAAAUAAAGACAAAGGACCCUUUGGACUGGGAAUGGGGGCUCCAGGGGUCCCGAGUGGCGAUGUGCAAUGGAUAUAGAACCGUACUGUGAGUCCCCCCCCCUUUUUUUUGGUUUAUUUCAAUCUGGUUAUUUAUUUAUCUGGUUAUUUAUUUAUUUAUUUAUGGAAGGGUUUCUUUUUUCUGUAUAUUAACUGGCCCCGCUCCUUCCUUGUAAACUGUGGAUGUCGAACAGCACUUUAAAACGGGAAAGAAGAGCAGGAUCCUCGAAGGGGGCAAAGGAGCUCCCAUAAGGCGGAAGGACAGUCCCACCCCCUCCAUCCAUCCAUCCACCCCCCCCCCCCUUCACCUUUGUGGUCGUUGUUCCUGGAGAGAGAAAAACCCUCCUUCUGUCAAGUGACUGAUCUCCUCAUUUGGCUUUCCUGGUUUUGCUUUCCUAUUUGUUCUUCUUUAAUAAAAAGCUGACUUUUAAACAAAACCCAAGGCAGUGAAAGGGCCAUCCCCAUCAGGCGCACAAUCUGCAGGGAAGUGAUUUCUGGUGGAAGCGGAUAGAGACCAGGCAGAAACGAUUCUCAAAGAAACCUGAACACCUCCCUUGCAGACAUCAUGUCAACAAUAUUGAACAAUGACAGUUUGCACAGGUUGAAUAUCCAGGAAACAAAAAUAAUGACCACAGAUCACUUAGGGUGAUUUUAAAUGAGAGGAUGAAGCCUCCUGAACUAGUUUCUAUGCUUGGCGUAGUCAUUAAUGAAGAAUGGAGACGGCAGUCAAGAAAGGAGAAGAGAACUUGGAAGGAGGCAAGAUCCCAAGUGUCAAGAUAAGACAUUUAGGAAGGUCCAAGCCAGCUGAUUUCCCAUUUCUGUGUACAGUUGUGAAAGCUGGGCAGUGAAGAAAGAGAAAAGGAAGAAAAUCAACUCGUUUGAAAUAUGUUGCUGGAGAAGUGCUGGAGAAGAUGCCACAAAUGUCAAAAAGACAGAUCAGUGGGUCUCAGAACAAACCCAGUCCAAACUCCCCACAGAAGCCAAGAUGCUGAAACUGAGACUAGUGUAUUAUGGCCACAUCAUGCCAAGAUAGGUCUCCCUAGAAAAGACAGUGAUGCAUGGGAAGGGAGAAGGAAAAGUGGAAGUAGCAGCCUUGAAUCUGUGAGACCCCAGGAUGGAUCUCUCUCAUUCACAGGAUCUCUGAGAAUCAAAAUCGACUUGACAGGAAUUAACAACAACAAUUGAUUUUUGUCGACCAAAC